rnacentral:rRNA from 1 species
AGAGUUUGAUCCUGGCUCAGGAUGAACGCUGGCGGCGUGCUUAACACAUGCAAGUCGAACGAACCUUCGGGUUAGUGGCGGACGGGUGAGUAACGCGUGGGAAUCUGCCCUCAGGAGGGGGAUAACGGCUGGAAACGGCCGCUAAUACCCCAUAUGCCGAGAGGUGAAAUGAAUUUCGCCUGAGGAUGAGCCCGCGUCUGAUUAGCUAGUUGGUGUGGUAAUGGCUCACCAAGGCUUCGAUCAGUAGCUGGUCUGAGAGGAUGAUCAGCCACACUGGGACUGAGACACGGCCCAGACUCCUACGGGAGGCAGCAGUGGGGAAUUUUCCGCAAUGGGCGAAAGCCUGACGGAGCAACGCCGCGUGAGGGAUGAAGGCCUCUGGGCUGUAAACCUCUUUUCUCAAGGAAGAAGAUAUGACGGUACUUGAGGAAUAAGCCACGGCUAAUUCCGUGCCAGCAGCCGCGGUAAUACGGGAGUGGCAAGCGUUAUCCGGAAUUAUUGGGCGUAAAGCGUCCGCAGGCGGCCUUUCAAGUCUGCUGUUAAAAAGUGGAGCUUAACUCCAUCAUGGCAGUGGAAACUGUUGGGCUUGAGUGUGGUAGGGGCAGAGGGAAUUCCCGGUGUAGCGGUGAAAUGCGUAGAUAUCGGGAAGAACACCAGUGGCGAAGGCGCUCUGCUGGGCCAUCACUGACGCUCAUGGACGAAAGCCAGGGGAGCGAAAGGGAUUAGAUACCCCUGUAGUCCUGGCCGUAAACGAUGAACACUAGGUGUCGGGGGAAUCGACCCCCUCGGUGUCGUAGCCAACGCGUUAAGUGUUCCGCCUGGGGAGUACGCACGCAAGUGUGAAACUCAAAGGAAUUGACGGGGGCCCGCACAAGCGGUGGAGUAUGUGGUUUAAUUCGAUGCAACGCGAAGAACCUUACCAGGGUUUGACAUCCUGCGAAUCUCUUGGAAACGAGAGAGUGCCUUCGGGAACGCAGUGACAGGUGGUGCAUGGCUGUCGUCAGCUCGUGUCGUGAGAUGUUGGGUUAAGUCCCGCAACGAGCGCAACCCACGUUUUUAGUUGCCAGCAUUUAGUUGGGCACUCUAGAGAGACCGCCGGUGAUAAACCGGAGGAAGGUGUGGAUGACGUCAAGUCAUCAUGCCCCUUACAUCCUGGGCUACACACGUACUACAAUGCUACGGACAAAGGGCAGCAAACUCGCGAGGGCAAGCAAAUCCCAUAAACCGUGGCUCAGUUCAGAUCGUAGGCUGCAACUCGCCUACGUGAAGCAGGAAUCGCUAGUAAUCGCAGGUCAGCAUACUGCGGUGAAUACGUUCCCGGGCCUUGUACACACCGCCCGUCACACCAUGGAAGUUGGCCACGCCCGAAGUCGUUACUCCAACCCUUGUGGAGGAGGACGCCGAAGGUGGGGCUGAUGACUGGGGUGAAGUCGUAACAAGGUAUCCGUACCGGAAGGUGCGGAUG